CCCUUAGAUGUUCUGGGCCGCACACGCGCUACACUGAAGGAGGCAGCGUGUACUCCUGGAUCGAAAGAUUUGGGUAACCCGCGAAUCUCCUUCGUGCUAGGGAUUGAGGUUUGCAAUUAUCCUUCAUGAACGAGGAAUUCCCAGUAAGUGCAAGUCAUAAGCUUGCGCUGACUACGUCCCUGCCCUUUGUACACACCGCCCGUCGCUACUACCGAUUGAAUAAUCCGGUGAGGCCCCCGGACUGUGGCGCUGCAUCUGGUUCGCCAGCCGCGGCGCCGCGGGAAGCUGUCCAAACCUUAUUAUUUAGAGGAAGGAGAAGUCGUAACA
rnacentral:rRNA from 1 species